AAUACAUGCAAGUCGAGCGAGAAGGUGUAGCGAUACACUUGUAAAGCGGCGAACGGGUGAGGAAUACAUGGGUAACCUACCCUCGAGUGGGGAAUAACUAGCCGAAAGGUUAGCUAAUACCGCAUACGAUUCCCGGUCUGCGGAUCGGGAAGGAAAGCGAUACCGUGGGUAUCGCGCUCCUGGAUGGGCUCAUGUCCUAUCAGCUUGUUGGUGAGGUAAUGGCUCACCAAGGCUUCGACGGGUAGCUGGUCUGAGAGGACGAUCAGCCACACUGGCACUGCGACACGGGCCAGACUCCUACGGGAGGCAGCAGUAAGGAAUAUUGCGCAAUGGGCGAAAGCCUGACGCAGCGACGCCGCGUGGGGGAUGAAGGUCUUCGGAUUGUAAACCCCUUUCGGGAGGGAAGAUGGAAUGGGUAACCAUUCGGACGGUACCUCCAGAAGCAGCCACGGCUAACUUCGUGC
rnacentral:rRNA from 1 species